GCCUCUGGCACUCCACGCCACAGCUGGAUUGCACCUCCUCCGUGUGCCAUAGAUCUGGAUCUGUGAGAUUCUCCUUGGAAAGGGCAGUAUGUGAAGCAAACAUCAGUACCUGAGACUAAGCUGCACUGAUGACCCUUCAAAAGAGGGCACCCCCCCUCCCUCAUACCACCGGGCCAUAAAUGUCCCACCAGAAGCAGAGCAGCUUUCCUGGCCUGCCGUCCCGGUACAGCGGUGAUGGAUGCUUCCAGCAUGGCACUGUCAUGGGGGCCUCAGGCUGGGCUGGCCAGGAUCCUGAGAGCUAUAAAAGAAGCCCACGGGCAUCUCGACCCUGUUCCGUGUCGGAACUGGAGAGGAGCUACACAAACAGCUACCCCUUGUCAGGGGUCCCCUUGCAAGGAGAGAACCCUCUGAACGGGACGCCAGGACCCUGGGAGCCCGGCCACUCAAACAGCGCAUGGAGAGAAUCCAGCAGGGGCUUUUUUAGGCCCAAGCACAUCGAAAGAGCCAGGUCCAUGAGCCCCUUGCGAGGGAUCCACUCCAUAGAUAGUGGGAUAGUUUUAACCAAUGGCAUGGAAUGUGCCUGGAAACAUUCCAGCCCACCACUCAGAAGGAGGCAUUCUUUAUCUCGUCUCCCGGACUGGGACACAGAAGAAUAUGGUCCCAUGCGGCCAUUGGUUCGAAGGGUGUGGAGUGGAUUGGAGCUGGACCUGCGGGCAUCUUUACCAGAGAAUGUGCAGAGGACUGCAGGGCUGGGGCCCUCUCUGCGGGACGCUCCUGGGGUGCUAGAGGGACAGGCAGAAGAGCUGCAGAAACUGGAACUCAACAGGGUGAAGUUUGAGCUGCUUUCCAUUAAGCAGAAGCAGAUGGAGAGCUCUCUCGCCCAACUAGAGAAGGAAAAGAGCUGGUUGGACCUGUCCCGCUAUGAAGACCAGAAACAGAGAGGGGACCUGCAAGAGAAGAUCCUUAAUUUGGAGAUGGAGGUGGUGAAGGCCAAAUCCUGCUUGAGCAGAAUGAGCUGCCGCUCGGUCUCCCCAAGUCCCAGACAGAGGUUGUCUGCGGAAAAGGAGGAGCUGAACCGAGAAAUGACAGCUCUUCAAGAAACCCUGAGUGGUUACAAGGAGCACAUGAAGGUUCUGGAAGCAGAACGGGAUGAAAUGACCCAGCAGCUGAACUCAGCCAAAGAGGGGCAACAGCUGGCUUUCAGCCAGACCAAUGAGGCCAACCAGAGAGUGACGGACUCGCUCCAGGCGACAACAGCACUGCACAAGGAAAUUGGCAGACUCCAAGUGGCUUACAACAGCACCAGCCGGGAGAAGGAGCUGCUGUCUUCCAAGGUGGCCAGACUGGAGGAGAGAGUAUCUGAGCUCACCAUGAAGCUGAAGCCUGCCCUGUCCAACAGGGAGAGGUUCCUAAAGGAGAAAGUGGAGCUGCACCAGCAGGUGCAGGAUCUCACCCUGCAAUUAGAACAUGCGCAGCGGAGCCGAGAGGGAUUCAACAGCCAAGUGUCAGACCUCCAUCUGGAGCUGGUGAAUGCCAAGGCCCAGGCCAACCGCCAGGACCAGGAGAAGGUCCUGAUGAAGGAGGAGCUGGUGACCCUCAGACAGGUAAAUGAGAAGCUUUCCUCUGAACUGGGUCAGAGCCGCCAGAGACUGGAGACCUCCCUGGGUCAGCUCCACCAGCUGGAGGCUGAGAAGAAGAUCCUGACCAAUAGGAUCCAGGCCCUGGAGACUGAGCGCACGCAGCUGCUGGGUGAACAGGAGGCGCUGAAGUCAGAAAUGCAGAGGGAUGCUGGAGGCCAGGGGAAUGAUGUGGCAGCUCUUCAAACGACCUGCGAAGGGCUCAGGGCAUCGCAGUCCCUGUUGCAGGCGGAGAAGGAAGCCCUGCAGGCUCGCUGCAUGGAGCUGGAGGCUGCCCUGCGGCACAAGCAGGAGGAGUUGUGUGGCCAGCUUGCAGAGCAGCAGCAGGUCUCCCAGCACUGGAAGGACAGAUGGAACCAGGCGGCUGUGGCCCUAAAAACCAAAGAGGAGGAACUGGAGCAAGCACAUGUGGCACGUCAGAGCUUGUCUGCCAAGCACACAGAGCUCCUGGAGGACUGCGAGCUGCUCCAGGUGGAUGUGGAGGAGCUGGCCGAGCUGAGAGGCGCCAUGUGCAGCCUGAAGGAAGAAAACGGAGACUUAAUGAGACAGCUGAGGGAGCAGCAACAGGCCACCCAGCUGCUGCAGCUACAGCAAGAGCUGGCUACAAACACAUCUGUACCGGGAUCAGACUCAGAGAGGACUUCAGAACAAGAGGCCCUUUACAGAGAGAUCCAGGAAACCCACGACAGGAUAAAGAGGCUGGAGAAUGAAAAAGCUGAGAUGAAGUCCGAGAUCAGGAAGCUGAAGCUGGAUGGCGCUUCUGUCCUGCGGAUUGAACUGGACGCCUGUAAGCAGGAGCUGGAGCUGGAAAAGAGCCGCAGUCAGGCUCUGAAUGGCAAAGUGCAGCUGCUGCAGUCCAGGCGCUGGGACAAUGCUACUCCACCACGUGAGCAGAUCAAGUUCCCAGCAGCCUCCAAUACCACAACAACAUCUGGCUUAGAGAUGGAUUGUCCUGUGUCCUCUCCAAGAAGUUCUCAGAUUUCCAGUCCUCAAGGAGAGCCGUUGGCCAUGGAGAGCCCCCAGGGCUUGAUGGCCUCAGGGGGCCUGUCUGAGGUGGAGAGCCUGAAGCAGGAGCUCCAGAGGGAGACUGCAUCCCGGCAGGAAAAGGAGGAGCUGAUCUGGACUCUGAGAGAGGAAUUAGAAGAACUGAAACUAAAGCAGCCAGGAGACAUCAAGGCCUCCCUGGAGGAAGUAGACACAGAGUUAGUGCUGGUCCGAGAAGAGCUGCAGAAGGUUUGGGACAUGCUGAAAACACGUGAUACGGCACUGGAAGAACGACACCUGGAGUUAGAAUCAGCCAGGAACCAGUACACUGAAUGCAGCUCAGAGAAGCUGAGACUGGAACAACUCGUCGCCUCUCUGGAGCACCAGCUGGCGGAGAGGGAACAGGCCUUGAGGCACCUUCGACAAGCAAGUGAGAUGGAAAAAACCAAGCUGGAGAUUCAAGCCUCUUCGUUAGAGCUGAAGCUGCCAGAAGUGGAGGUCCUGAGAGACGACGCCCACCGACGCAACCAGGCAUCGGGCCCCCCAGAGGUACAGAACUGGGGCCCCAGGCAGAGCCGUGCCAGCCGCUCCGAGGGGAAGUGCUCCCAGUGUGAUGCUUUUCUGGCCCAGCUGAACAAGAUGAUUCAAAGCUGUACAGAGAAAGGGGCUGUGCUGCAGGAGGACCAGACCUUGACCUACCUGUGUGAGCUGCAGGGGCUCCUCAAGGGGCUGAGUCAGUGCACAGCCGGCCAAGUCACAAGGAGCCCCCAGGAAAAGAGCCAAACCUUGGAACAGCAGCAUCAGCUGGUGACCGAGCAGCUCAAGGGCUUGUUCAGACAGAGGCAGCAGCUGCAGUCAGGGCACAGGAAGCUGUCAAGAGACCAGAAGGACGAGUGCUCAGUGGAGCAAUGGGUGAAGAACUCUCAAGUGAAUGCAAGAGGAGCCAUCAAGCCACACGGGAAACCUCCACAGGAGCUAAGAGAAAAGCAGCAGCCUGUGCCAGGAGAUCUGGGCUUCUCCACCAGCACCGAAGAAGCGCAGAGCCUCAGGCUGCAACUGCAAGAGAAAACGGAAAUGAUUUCCGCCAUGGCCUCUGAGAUCCAGGGACUGCAGCAAAAGAACGAACACCUGAUGAAAGCGAAACUGCGGUUUCAGCAGCAAAUCCAAGACAUCCGCAGCCUCCAGCAGCAGCGACAGGAAAGGAGCGACUCAGACCUGCUGGUUCCUAGGCUCUCCAGCCGGCAGGAGCUGGAGUUGGGGCUGAGCCAACGGAGCGAUGGCUCUGCACCUCCGACUGGCGGUGAUCCCCAUGCUUCUCUGUACCUAGCCAAGCAGGUGGUGCUGCCCGAGGCAGGAGACGAGCUGUGUUGCUUCAGUUCUGAAAGCAGUGGCAGCCAGUCCCACGGGUCCCAGGCAGGGUCAGAACUGCCAGCGCUGCCGCUGAGCAAGCUCCCUGCUGAUCCUGUGACUGGGAAGCUGCCUCCCCCGUCCACACUGCCCCUCCCAGCCUCCACCUCAGCAUCUGGCAAAUCCUCCCCCGAGGCCCGCUCGGCCCCAGUGAGCCCCCGGAGCCAGCCUGGCAGCCAGGAGUCCUCGUACACUCCCAAGGGGGCAGUGCUGCUCUCGCCAAGACCCUUCCGGGCACAACGACUGGGCUCGCCCUUUAAAUUCAGAGUGAGCCCGGAGCCCCCAGGGGAGAGCUGUGGCAGCUGAAGCACCCUGUCCGUUGAGAUCAGACUAGAUGAUCACAACGGCCCCCUUCUGGCCUUGGAAUCUAUGAAUCCUGCAUGGCUGGGUACACGUGGCUUUGAAUGAUCCGCUCUGUGCCCUCUCCUUGUCCCCUGAGCUGUUCGCCGUAGAGUCUGGCUGGUAAAUGAAUGAACAUAGCAUGUUCUCUUGGAACUGGCUGUUUCCCCCUGGCAGCGGCGAAAGGUGGUCUCCUGACCCCUUGGGUUGGAAUUCAGAUUGGGGGCAUUACAGGGGAGGGGCUGUUCUUGCACUAGCCGGGCAACUAAGUCCAACAGUCCCUAGUUCCCCGCGCACCUGGGCCUCCUGGAGUAGGGAGCCAUCAGUGUGGUCUGUGAGCAGCAAAUGGUUCGAUGUAUGCUACAGGUUCUUUCCUUGCCCGAGCAUCUGAGCACCUGCCACUCAUGCGUUAAGGGAUUUGACUCACUUUUGCCAUGCGUAGUUCUUGCUUUCGCUCGUCUUCUCCCCAGGGGGAGAACUGUGUGCAGUGGAGUGUUGGGAAACAUACCCCCUGCUCUGUGUUUAUAUGGGGAAGGGACGGUCAGAGGGGUGCGCCUGGCACCUAGACCAUGAGGUGGGGAGGGUUGUGAUGGUCCUUGGGUUCAUCCCACAGUCUGAGGCUGGCCCCCAAGACAGCUCUGCCUCCUGCAUAGCCGAGCUUUACCCUGAAGUUAGGAAGUGCCUUGGUGCCAGAGGCGCAGAGCCCAACCAGGCCCCAGCCCAAACCUUUAGGUGAUCUUCUACAUAGGCUGGGCCUCUUCUGUUCCCCUGAGACAGAGAGCUUGCUUCUCCCUUUCCUGGAAGCUCAACCUCCUGAGGGAGAGGAGGCCGUAGAUAGAGUACCCCCAAGCUACACCAGCUGCAUUGCUCAGCUGCUGCACUGAGGAACAGGCAGCAGAGCAGGCCCACGCAGCUCACUGCCUCCAGUUCCCUUGUCCCUAGCAGCCCUGCCUUCAGAGUCAUCAGG
ensembl:lncRNA